rnacentral:rRNA from 1 species
UACGUAGGGUGCGAGCGUUGUCCGGAAUUACUGGGCGUAAAGAGCUCGUAGGUGGUUUGUCGCGUUGUCCGUGAAAACUCACAACUCAACUGUGGGCGUGCGGGCGAUACGGGCAGACUGGAGUACUGCAGGGGAGACUGGAAUUCCUGGUGUAGCGGUGGAAUGCGCAGAUAUCUGGAGGAACACCGGUGGCGAAGGCGGCAUCCUGGACCAAUACUGACACUGAGGAGCGAAAGCCAGGGGAGCAAACGGG